rnacentral:lncRNA from 1 species
GAACCGCCGCCGCUGCCGCCGCCGCCGCCAGGACCGCCUUGGUAAAGUUUGCUGAUGAUGGGGUUGCACACUCUUUCGAGCUCUUUCUGCUUGUGUUCAUACUCAUCUUUCUCCGCCAUCUGGUUUCGGUCGAGCCAGUUGAUCACCUCCUGGCACUUGUCGAGGAUCUUGUUUUUGUCCUGCUCGCUAAUCUUGCCCCUCAGUUUCUCGUCUUCCACCGUCUGCUUGAUGUUGUAGGUAUAGGACUCCACCGCAUUUUUGGCGGCGACCCGGUCACGAUUGGCCUCAUCUUCCGACUUGUACCGCUCCGCUUCCUGCACCAUCCGGUCAAUGUCGUCCUUGCUCAGACGACCCUUGUCGUUGGUAAUGGUGAUUUUGUUUUCUUUACCGGUGCUCUUGUCAGCGGCGGUGACGUUGAGGAUGCCGUUGGCGUCGAUGUCGAAGGUUACCUCGAUCUGGGGGACCCCGCGGGGCGCGGGGGGAAUCCCGGUCAGGUCGAACUUGCCCAGCAGGUUAUUGUCCUUGGUCAUGGCCCGUUCGCCCUCGUACACCUGCACCAGCACGCUGCUCUGGUUGUCAGAGUAGGUGGUGAAGGUCUGCGUCUGCUUGGUAGGGAUCGUGGUGUUUCUCUUGAUGAGCGGGGUCAUGACGCCGCCAGCCGUCUCAAUGCCCAGCGACAACGGGGUCACGUCGAGCAGCAGGAGGUCCUGCACGUUCUCUGACUUGUCCCCGAUGAGAAUGGCCGCCUGCACCGCGGCUCCGUAGGCCACCGCCUCGUCGGGGUUGAUGCUCUUGUUCAGCUCCUUGCCGUUGAAGAAAUCCUGCAGCAGCUUCUGGAUCUUGGGGAUGCGGGUGGAGCCGCCCACCAGCACGAUCUCCUGGAUCUGGCCUUUGUCUAGCUUGGCGUCACGCAGCGCCUUCUCCACCGGCUCCAGGGUUCCGCGGAACAGGUCAGCGUUGAGCUCCUCGAAGCGGGCGCGGGUGAUGGACGUGUAGAAGUCCACGCCCUCGUACAGCGAGUCGAUCUCAAUGCUCGCCUGCGUAGACGAGCUCAAGGUGCGCUUGGCGCGCUCGCAAGCGGUACGCAGCCGCCGCACAGCGCGCUUGUUGGGCCCAAUGUCCUUCUUGUGCUUGCGCUUGAACUCCUCCGCCAGGUGGCUCACCAUGCGGUUGUCGAAGUCCUCGCCGCCCAGGUGGGUGUCGCCGGCCGUGGACUUCACUUCGAAGAUGCCGUCCUCGAUGGUCAGGAUGGACACGUCGAAGGUGCCGCCGCCCAGGUCAAAGAUGAGCACGUUCUUCUCGCCGCCGGCGCAGCCCUUCUUGUCCAGGCCGUAGGCAAUGGCCGCCGCGGUGGGCUCGUUAAUGAUGCGCAGCACGUUGAGGCCCGUGAUGGUGCCCGCGUCCUUGGUGGCCUGGCGCUGCGAGUCAUUGAAAUAGGCCGGGACCGUGAUGACCGCGCUCUGCACCUUGCCUCCCAGGUAGGCUUCGGCGAUCUCCUUCAUCUUAGUGAGUACCAUGGAGGAGAUCUCCUCCGGGAAGAAGGUCUUGAUCUCUCCCUUGUACUCCACCUGCACUUUGGGCUUUCCUCCCUCGCUCACCACCCUGAACGGCCAAUGUUUCAUGUCCGACUGCACCGUGGAGUCCUCGAACUUCCGUCCGAUCAGCCUCUUGGCGUCGAAGAUGGUGUUGGUGGGAUUCAUGGCCACCUGGUUCUUGGCGGCGUCGCCGAUGAGGCGCUCGGUGUCGGUGAAGGCCACGUAGCUGGGGGUGGUGCGGUUGCCCUGGUCGUUGGC